UACAGAGGGUGCAAGCGUUGUUCGGAAUUAUUGGGCGUAAAGCGCGUGUAGGCGGCUUUGCAAGUCGGGUGUGAAAGCCCUCAGCUCAACUGAGGAAGUGCGCCCGAAACUGCAGAGCUUGAGUGCCGGAGAGGGUGGCGGAAUUCCCCAAGUAGAGGUGAAAUUCGUAGAUAUGGGGAGGAACACCGGUGGCGAAGGCGGCAUCCUGGACCGACAUUGACGCUGAGGAGCGAAAGCUAGGGGAGCAAACGGG
rnacentral:rRNA from 1 species